AUGGGCGGCAGUGGCACCUUGGGCAGGUCGGGGAUGGACGGCAUAGGCGGCAGCGGCAAGUCAGGUAUGCCAGGGACGGACGGCAUUGGCAACGUCGGCACCCCUGGCACUGUGGGAACCGUCGGCACACUCGGCGCAGUGGGCACUGUCGGCACGGCGGCGCCAGGUACUGCCGGCAGCGGCACAGUCGGCACGCCUGGCAGGGUGGGAACUGCCGGGAUGGUUGGCACGGCGGCGCCAGGUACUGGUACUGUCGGCACACCUGGCACCGUGGGCACCGUCGGUACGCCCGGCACGGUGGGAAUUGUCGGCACCGUCGGGACGCCUGGCACGGUGGGCACCGUGGGAACGACGCCGCCUGGCACGGCGGGGACUGUAGGGACGACGGGCACGGGGGGCAGCAGCGGCGUGGGCAAGGCCGGAACGUCGGCGAGGAGGCGCGCGGCAUGGCACGUGCUGAGCAUGACGGCCAUGACGAGCGCCAUGGCCACGAAGCUCGUCGACGUGGAAGCCAUGGGCGCGCGCUCGUGA
rnacentral:rRNA from 1 species